rnacentral:misc_RNA from 1 species
UCUCCGUUGGUGAACCAGCGGAGGGAUCAUUACAGAGUACUCGCUCUAUAAAACCCACUGUGAACUUACCUUUUUGUUGCCUCGGCGGGCGGCUCCAGGGCGGAGCCAGUGCCUCUUUGCUGAGGUGCCCGCCGAAGGCCCCACCAAAUACUCUGCUGUAGUUGGCAUAUCCGAGUCAAAAUACAAAAUACGUUAAAACUUUCAACAACGGAUCUCUUGGUUCUG